GACGAACGCUGGCGGCAGGCCUAACACAUGCAAGUCGAGCGAGCGGCGGACGGGUGAGUAAUGUCUGGGAAACUGCCUGAUGGAGGGGGAUAACUACUGGAAACGGUAGCUAAUACCGCAUACCAUCAGAUGUGCCCAGAUGGGAUUAGCUAGUGGGUGGGGUAACGGCUCACCUAGGCGACGAUCCCUAUCUGGUCUGAGAGGAUGAACAGGCAAAAUGGGACUGGGAAACGGUCCAGAAUCCUUCGGGAGGCGAGCGUGGGGAAGAUUGCACAAUGGGCGCAAGCCUGAGGGAGCCAUGCCGCGGGUGUGAAAAAGGCCUUUGGGUUGGAAAGGACUUUUAGCCGGGAGGCGUUACCCGCAGAAGAAGCACCGGCUAACUCCGUGCCAGCAGCCGCGGUAAUAC
rnacentral:rRNA from 1 species